UGGUUGGUUUUGUCAUUUAUAUCCUCGUGGGUGGAAACUUGAGUGACUUAUCCAUGGUUGCCACUCCCAUGCUCACAGUUGAGUUGCUGAAACUGUUGCAGUGUGUGGAUAAGCAGACAUUCCAUACAAACUAGUAUAAUAUUUAGCAUUUUUUAGCUAAUUGCAAAAAGUUUGAUUUAUUUUGCACUAUUUUUGCACCCUGCGUUUUUAUUUUCCCACCCUGCAUAGCAUUUCCUGUGUUAAGCAUUACUUACUGACAGUUGUGGUGCAAUGCAUUAUCCAGAUUCAUAUGGUUGAAUGUACAAUAGUAGUGACUGGCCUAUUCAGCAGGUACUUAGAGGGCAAAUUCCAUUUAACCUUCAAUGUUGAUCAAACAUAUCUUUUACCUCAUCUAUAAAAAAGAUGCGUCCACCAUCUCCAAUUAGGUGAAUACGAUGGACAGAUCACCAGAGAGGGUUGUGAUUAGUGUUCGGAGACGAUGCGUGCGAUAUUUUCAUCGAGUUAAAAAGUUUCAGAAAACUAGAAGCGAAAGAAGCAAAA